UGAUGGUACUGCAAUUGAUAAGGCC
rnacentral:piRNA from 1 species